rnacentral:rRNA from 1 species
GCGCACCAGUCGAGAAAACUUCACACUGUGCGAAAGCACGAUGAGGGAAUCCCAAGUGCUUGCACGUAAGUGUAAGCUGUUUCUCUGUCUAAAACGCAGAGAGAGUAAGGGCUGGGUAAGACGGGUGCCAGCCGCCGCGGUAAUACCUGCAGCUCAAGUGGUGACCGUUAUUAUUGGGCCUAAAACGUCCGUAGCCGGUUUAAUAAAUGCCUGGGUAAAUUGUGUAGCUUAACUAUACGAAUUCCGGGUAGACUGUUAAACUUGAGACCGGGAGAAGUUAGAGGUACUCCUGGGGUAGAGGUGAAAUUCUGUAAUCCUAGGGGGACCACCAGUGGCGAAGGCGUCUAACUAGAACGGGUCUGACGGUGAGGGACGAAGCCCUGGGGCGCAAACGGGGAUUAGAUACCCCCGUAGU